GUACUUUUGAGGAGUCCUAUAAUAGGACGAAACGGCCGUCCAAUAC
rnacentral:hammerhead_ribozyme from 1 species